UGUCGAAGCACCGGUCACAGCACUUGAUGAGCGAAAGGAGCCAUUGGGGGGCGCCACAGGACGUGGGCGCCAGCCGAACCGGGCCAGGAUGGCCCGUUUGAGGCGACCCCAAGGGCGACCGGAGCGAAUCAUAGUGCUGUCGGUGCGUAGACC
rfam:Desulfotomaculum hydrothermale Lam5 = DSM 18033, WGS project CAOS01000000 data, contig: ABX_2590_11